rnacentral:rRNA from 1 species
AGAGUUUGAUCCUGGCUCAGAUUGAACGCUGGCGGCAUGCUUUACACAUGCAAGUCGGACGGCAGCACAGAGAAGCUUGCUUCUUGGGUGGCGAGUGGCGAACGGGUGAGUAAUAUAUCGGAACGUACCGAGUAAUGGGGGAUAACUAAUCGAAAGAUUAGCUAAUACCGCAUAUUCUCUGAGGAGGAAAGCAGGGGACCUUCGGGCCUUGCGUUAUUCGAGCGGCCGAUAUCUGAUUAGCUAGUUGGUGGGGUAAAGGCCUACCAAGGCGACGAUCAGUAGCGGGUCUGAGAGGAUGAUCCGCCACACUGGGACUGAGACACGGCCCAGACUCCUACGGGAGGCAGCAGUGGGGAAUUUUGGACAAUGGGCGCAAGCCUGAUCCAGCCAUGCCGCGUGUCUGAAGAAGGCCUUCGGGUUGUAAAGGACUUUUGUCAGGGAAGAAAAGGCUGUUGCUAAUAUCGACAGCUGAUGACGGUACCUGAAGAAUAAGCACCGGCUAACUACGUGCCAGCAGCCGCGGUAAUACGUAGGGUGCGAGCGUUAAUCGGAAUUACUGGGCGUAAAGCGAGCGCAGACGGUUACUUAAGCAGGAUGUGAAAUCCCCGGGCUCAACCUGGGAACUGCGUUCUGAACUGGGUGACUAGAGUGUGUCAGAGGGAGGUAGAAUUCCACGUGUAGCAGUGAAAUGCGUAGAGAUGUGGAGGAAUACCGAUGGCGAAGGCAGCCUCCUGGGAUAACACUGACGUUCAUGCUCGAAAGCGUGGGUAGCAAACAGGAUUAGAUACCCUGGUAGUCCACGCCCUAAA